AAGUCGUAACAAGGUUUCCGUAGGUUAACCUGCGGAAGGAUCAUUAUCAAUGGACCCCCUUCAUUACACCGUGCACUGGGCUGUAUAGCCCAAAUCACAACAUAAUAUAGCAACAGCAGAGUCUUUUUAUCUAUAGACAACUUUUAGCAACGGAUCUCUAGGUUCUC
rnacentral:misc_RNA from 1 species